rnacentral:rRNA from 1 species
AACGCUAGCUACAGGCUUAACACAUGCAAGUCGCGGGGCAGCAUUUUCCUAGCUUGCUAGGGAAGAUGGCGACCGGCGCACGGGUGAGUAACGCGUAUCCAACCUUCCCAUGUCCACGGGAUAGCCCGUCGAAAGGCGGAUUAAUACCGUAUGAGGUCACAUGCGGGCAUCUAAUUGUGACGAAAGGUUUUGCGGACAUGGAUGGGGAUGCGUCCGAUUAGCUUGUUGGCGGGGUAACGGCCCACCAAGGCGACGAUCGGUAGGGGUUCUGAGAGGAAGGUCCCCCACAUUGGAACUGAGACACGGUCCAAACUCCUACGGGAGGCAGCAGUGAGGAAUAUUGGUCAAUGGACGCAAGUCUGAACCAGCCAAGUAGCGUGCAGGAUGACGGCCCUAUGGGUUGUAAACUGCUUUUGUACGGGGAUAAAGUGAGCCACGUGUGGUUUAUUGCAGGUACCGUACGAAUAAGGACCGGCUAAUUCCGUGCCAGCAGCCGCGGUAAUACGGAAGGUCCGGGCGUUAUCCGGAUUCAUUGGGUUUAAAGGGAGCGUAGGCCGCCCCUUAAGCGUGUUGUGAAAUGCCGCGGCUCAACCGUGGCACUGCAGCGCGAACUGGGGGGCUUGAGUGCGCGCAGCGAAGGCGGAAUUCGUGGUGUAGCGGUGAAAUGCUUAGAUAUCACGAAGAACUCCGAUUG